GACACGGGGAAUGAACGAGCUGUGGGUUUGCGGCAACUGCCAGCAAAGACUGCAAGCUUAGAAGCGACCCACCUGUGGAAAUGGACAGCAUCA